rnacentral:lncRNA from 7 species
AGUGGGGCGUGGGUGGACGGGGGGGGGGGGGAGAGGGUGGAAGGAAAAAUUGGAGGUAGGGUGAGGGAAGGGGAGGGUUGAAGGGAAAAUAAUGAAACAGAGGAAAAAAGAGAAUAACAAGUAAAAAGCAAUGCAUGUAAAUACAGAGCAAGCAAGUAGGAAAGCUAGGCAUAGCACAGCAAAAGAGAGCAAAGCAAAAGAAGGCAAAGAAUGACAAAAAGCAACCUUGCAGGAAUGGAGGAAUCUGUCCAGAGCUGUGCCCCUGCUUGCCACAGGAGCUGCGCGGGAGGAGAAGAACGUGGGCCAAAAGGAAUGGAGGAAUCUGUCCAGAGCUGUGCCCCUGCUUGCCACAGGAGCUGCGCGGGAGGAGAAGAACGUGGGCCAAAAGGUAAGAGGAGCUCCUUUGGGUUCUGGGCUUGAAGCAAAGCUGAGAAGCCAUGCCCGGGAGGAGGUGUGGGUAGCUACAGGCCACCUUGCUAUCUCCCCAAGAGAUGAGGUGUGUGGGCUAGGCACCGGGCAGGAGUGCUGGCCAGAAGCAAGCAUCUCUGUGGAGGAAGGCAAAGGGCGGAGGAGGUUCAAGGGUAGCUACCGGGCAUGGCCUUGCUCAGCAAGGGGAGGAAAAGCCUGAAGGGCACGAGAAGGGGAUAGAGAAGGGCAGGCAGUAGGCGUGAAGCUGCGAGCAGAGUAGAGAGCAACUUGGCAGAGCAGCAAGCAGAGUAGGCAAGUGUUGAGGUUUGGCGUGAGUAGCAGCAAAAGCCCAGAGCAUCAAGAAGCAGGAAGUGAGGAGAAGGUAAGUGAAGGGCAGGCAAGGUAAUGGGAGGCAAAGGCAAGGGGAAAGGGGGGGUAAGGGAGAAAGAAGGGAUGGGGAUGGGGAGGGGAUGGGUGAAGAGCAGAGCGGAGGGAAGGGCUGAGGGGAGGGCUGAAGGCAAACCUAUGAUGAAAAAAGAAAAG